rnacentral:lncRNA from 1 species
AAACACACCGGAUAGUAGAAAAAUAGACAUGAAUGAAAUUGAACUCAACCCAACCAAACUUUCCAUCAUUUAAGGGGUGUUUUCCCAACUCAAUUCAAACAUUAAUUUCAUUACUUCACCUCAGUUUCAAAAAAUUUCAAAAUUGGAGGAAACCAGAAGAUUUGUAUAAAUCCAAACUAUCAGAAAAUUAUUUGGAAAAACAACUCAAUCUAGCUAUAAGAAUCACAUUUGUUUUCUGUCUGCAGUUCGAACGCUUUUUUUUUUUAAUCUUUUUCUGUCCAACGAUAGAUAGGUGCUGUUGCUGAAAUUAUUCAUUUUUAUUUUUUUACCUUUGGACUUUGGGUGGUUUUCAAAAGGCCAGAAAAUGUUAGAUUUUGAAAACCGGUAAUCACCGAGGGUAGUCAUAUCCGGGGGCUAGUAUCAGCUGCUCCUCUUACACAAAUAUGUCUUUGCCGUUAGACAAGUUUUCAAAUUGCAGAAAGACACCCGCAACAGCCGUCACUGAUUAUUUCAAGUUGUCUUGUUUAAGGUAAAUGAUUUAUUGUAAACAAAAUAAAAGAAAAAGAAAAUAAAGGAAAUCGUGUGAGCCCCUCUUUAAUAGACAGACAGGGAAGGCAGAAAAGGAUGAUCUUUUGGAGAAACAAUACUGUUUUCUUCCAAAUUUUAUUCACCGACGAUUGAAGAAUGCAAUCAAAGGAUAAGCUUCAAGGAGUAAUUAUUAUCAUAAUUCCAUUGAUAUUCAGUAGUUAUCAAAUUUAAAUCUUGUUACAUUUGUAAUUUUAUUUAUUCUUAAAUUGUAUUUUUUUAUAUAUAAAAUAUUUUUAGAAUAGAGUUAGC